rnacentral:rRNA from 1 species
AACGUAGGAGACAAACGUUAUCCGGAGUUACUGGGCGUAAAGGGCGUGUAGGUGGUUACGUAAGUCUGGCGUGAAAUUUCUCGGCUUAACCGAGGCAGGUCGUCGGAUACUGCGGAACUUGAGGACGGUAGAGGCGUGUGGAAUUCCGGGUGUAGUGGUGAAAUGCGUAGAGAUGUGGAGGAACACCGAUGGCGAAGGCAGCCCCCUGGGCUAACACUGACGCUCAUGCACGAAAGCGUGGGGAGCAAACAGG